UGAUAUGUUUUCAAAGAGUCAGGUUGUUUGGGAAUGCAGCCUAAAUUGGGUGGUAAAUCUCACCUAAAGCUAAAUAUUUGCGAGAGACCGAUAGCGAACAAGUACCGUGAGGGAAAGAUGAAAAGAACUUUGAAAAGAGAGUUAAACAGUAUGUGAAAUUGUUAAAAGGGAACCGUUUGGAGCCAGAUUGGCUUGAUUGUAAUCAACCUAGAAUUCUUUGGGUGCACUUGCAGUCUAUGCCUGCCAACGACAGUUUGAUUUGGAGGAAAAAAUUAAUAGGAAUGUGGCCUUUCGAGGUGUUAUAGCCUAUUAUCAUACUCUGGAUUGGACUGAGGAACGCAGCGAAUGCCUUUAGGCAAGAUUGCUGGGCGCUUUCGCUAAUAAAUGUUAGAAUUUCUGCUUCGGGUGGUGCUAAUGUUUAAAGGAGGAACCCGUUUAGUAUAUUUUUUAUUCGCUUAGGUUGUUGGCUUAAUGACUCUAAAUGACCCGUCUUGAAACACGGACCAAGGAGUCCACCAUAAGUGCAAGUAUUUGGGUGCCAAACCCAUAUGCGUAAGGAAACUGAUUGAUACGAAAU
rnacentral:rRNA from 1 species